rnacentral:rRNA from 1 species
GCUCUGAUGGCGAGUGGCGAACGGGUGAGUAAUAUAUCGGAACGUGCCCUAGAGUGGGGGAUAACUAGUCGAAAGACUAGCUAAUACCGCAUACGAUCUACGGAUGAAAGUGGGGGAUCGCAAGACCUCAUGCUCCUGGAGCGGCCGAUAUCUGAUUAGCUAGUUGGUGGGGUAAAAGCCUACCAAGGCAACGAUCAGUAGCUGGUCUGAGAGGACGACCAGCCACACUGGGACUGAGACACGGCCCAGACUCCUACGGGAGGCAGCAGUGGGGAAUUUUGGACAAUGGGGGCAACCCUGAUCCAGCAAUGCCGCGUGAGUGAAGAAGGCCUUCGGGUUGUAAAGCUCUUUUGUCAGGGAAGAAACGGUAGUAGCGAAUAACUAUUACUAAUGACGGUACCUGAAGAAUAAGCACCGGCUAACUACGUGCCAGCAGCCGCGGUAAUACGUAGGGUGCAAGCGUUAAUCGGAAUUACUGGGCGUAAAGCGUGCGCAGGCGGUUGUGUAAGUCAGAUGUGAAAUCCCCGGGCUCAACCUGGGAAUUGCAUUUGAGACUGCACGGCUAGAGUGUGUCAGAGGGGGGUAGAAUUCCACGUGUAGCAGUGAAAUGCGUAGAUAUGUGGAGGAAUACCGAUGGCGAAGGCAGCCCCCUGGGAUAACACUGACGCUCAUGCACGAAAGCGUGGGGA